UACAGAUGUCUACACAUAAAUUUAACUAACCAUACCACGUAAAUAACAAAUUUUGUGCGCUCAUUCGUACAUCCACUUGUCCAGCUAAGCAACCAGCAAAACGGCCAGAAUAGCACACAAAAAAAAAGCAAAUAUAAUUCGGAAGAGAGGUCGUCGUCGAUUUAGUCAAAGCUAUAAAUUAAUGCAUUGUCACAAAAAUUGUCGAAAU